rnacentral:lncRNA from 1 species
GGUGGAAGUGGGAUGGAGAUUCCCUAAACACAUGAAGGAACCAACUUGCUGAGAAGGCGUUUGCAUUUCAAAGAGUUCAUUCAAAAAGUCAAAGGAAGCAUAUUUUAUGAUUCCUGAAAAUGAGGGACUCUGCCUCAGGUUGAGUUGACAAGACAUUGAACAGCGCCAAGAAUUUGUUUUGGCUCAUAGUUUAAGAAGUGAUGAAGUGAAUCCUGGAGGAAGACAUUGCUGCGGUAUCAUGAGAUCGCAUCAUCGUAGCUUCUGCAGUCAGGAGUGGAGAGUAGACAGGAAGUGGGAGUGUCUCCAAGAGCAUCCUAGACCAUCAACCCCCAGCAGCCUCAGUGGUGGACAAAGAUGAUCGCUUUCCCGAUUCAUAGCCUUCACAAGACCCUAGACUGCACAGAUCAUGGGAAGACGAAUGCAGAUGAGCAGUCAUGAUACCCUUGCUCGCCCACCCUCAGUUCCAGACAUACCAACACCUCCAGAUACUAACAGGUCAGGCACUACAAUGCCAGGAAUGGACUUGUAGGACCCAUGUCAGCAAGUUCUGAGUUCCAGCAACUCCAAGCAGCUGGGAUCCUGGCCUAGAAAACAAGGUUUCUCACUAAUACCAAAGGUGUUGGACCCGGAGCAAGAAGAACUCCAUCAUGGGUUCCCUCUAGACUCCCUCUGUGACCCCAAGUUCUAGACACCAGUGACAGACAGAUGAGUUUCCUCACUCUUCCUAAAUUGGGCUGGAUUACAGGAUGGCUUUUUGUUGGA